GAAUAUAACUAGGCUCAAGCUAAGAUUCUGCUCGUGAGCGUAAUGGUAUAAGCAUGUCUGACUGUGAGACUGACUGGUCGAACAGAGUCGAAAGUCGGCCAUCGUGAUCCGAGAGUCCCGUGUGGAAGGGCUCUCACUCAAC
rfam:Morus notabilis contig6215, whole genome shotgun sequence.